rnacentral:rRNA from 1 species
AGAUUUCCCAUGAUUAUAUAUCAGUAAGAGCCCUGAGAGAUGAUCAGGUAGAUAGGUUAGAAGUGGAAGUGUGGCGACACAUGUAGCGGACUAAUACUAAUAGCUCGAGGACUUAUCCAAA